CCCUAUCCAGCCCUAAUUUGCUCUCCGAAGGUCGUGUGCCCUACGCUUCUUCUCCAUCGGUCCCUAGUCUUCAUCCAUAGUCGUCGUCGUCGUCCGUGGCGGAGGCUAGGUGGUCGGCCGUCUGUCGCAUCCUUCUCCCUGCGCUGCUCUGUUCUGCGUCGCUCUGUUUUGUGGUCUUCUGCGUUGUUUGCCCGUCGAAGCCCUCACCGUGCCUCGCCUCGCGUCACCUUGCUGCGCCGCGUCUCGCCUCACCGUGCCGCGUGGCUUACUUUCUUGUUCUAUUACACUCUUUGUAACCCUUGAAGCGAAUUUUGUGUUGCCGUUCUGUACAGGUGGAGGCAAUAUUAGACAAGGAGAAUUUCACUUUGGAAGAGCUUCUUGUUGAAGAGGAGGUGAUCCAAGAAUGCAAGGCCGUAAACAGUCGACUCGUCAACUUUCUGAGAGAUCGAGCUCAGGUUGAACAGUUGUUACGCUACAUUAUUGAAGAACCACUAGAAGAUGCUAAAAGCAAACAAACCUUCAAGUUUUCAUUCAUUUCGUGCGAGAUUUUUACAUGUGAAAUUGACGUCAUUUUAAAGACCUUGGUGGAGGAAGAAGAGCUGAUGAACUUAUUAUUCUCCUUCUUGGAGCCUAAUCGUUCUCAUAGCACCUUGUUGACUGGCUACUUUAGCAAGCAUUUGAUAUUAAAGUUGGCUCAUUGUGAUUUUAGCAUUUGGUCUAAAGUUUGGAGAUUGAUAAGUUUCAAAAUAUGGAAAAGGAAUGAAACUAGAAAUGUCAGUGAUUUCCUGCUGUAGCUCCUCCGUUGUGAUUUCAUCGAUGAAGGACAAGUAAUAUUUAUUGAUUAAGACAUUAAUUUUUGCUGGUUCUGUGAUUCAUUGGGAAAACAACUUGAAGAGUACAUGGGAUUUGAGCUUUUUCACAUACUGCAAGAUUUAUUCUAUUAUGUUUUAAUUGAGAGUGAUAUGUUGGUUGCAGGUGUUCUCUUUGCUGGAGACUUAGGAAGAAAAUAUCCUUUUGGAACAUAAGUAUGAAAUCUAAGUCGAACUUCUAUCUUUAUGAGGGUCUAAAAGUUUAAUUCAGCUUUGUACAAAAGCAUGCAUGAAACACCUUGCUAUGGUGAAGAAUCUUUAAGUCAAUUUUCCAGUUAGAAUGUUAUACCAGACUUUACAAGUAGAGAUAGAUAUAAUUGUUUGGUCUAAGUAGAUAUUGAAUAGAGUAUAGUUAUGUUCAUGAAUU